UGCAUAUUAGUUUAUGAUGAACUUAAAAUUUUGAUCUUUAAGGAUAUGGUUUAAUUCCAUAAUUUGCAA
rnacentral:tRNA from 1 species